GCCAGCGGCGAGUAGCGGUGCGGACUGGCGGUCCCUGGCAGUACCGAGCGCAGACUACUUCAGUUCCAUUUGUUAAUCAUUGCAACUCAGCACGAAACAAGAGAACAUGUUCAAGAGUCUGUGAGGGGUAAAGAUGUUUUCAUCAUCCAGACUGUCUCAAAAUCCCAGAUUACAGGAAUGCAGUCAUCAUGGCCAAUU